UACAGAGGGUGCAAGCGUUGUUCGGAAUUAUUGGGCGUAAAGGGUGCGUAGGCGGUCGGGUAAGUCUGAUGUGAAAUCUCACAGCUUAACUGUGAAACUGCAUUGGAUACUAUUCGGCUAGAGAGUUGGAGGGGGGACUGGAAUUCUUGGUGUAGCAGUGAAAUGCGUAGAUAUCAAGAGGAACACCAGUGGCGAAGGCGAGUCCCUGGACAACUUCUGACGCUGAGGCACGAAAGCUAGGGGAGCAAACAGG
rnacentral:rRNA from 1 species